CCGCCGCCGCCGAUCUUCUUCUCUGGCCAUCCGCCGACCUCCUGUUCUCCUUCCCCUCCCAACCCGCAGCCUCCUCAAUCUCCAACCUCCUACACCCGUAUCGUGCUUCUCUGCUUUGGAUCGAGUUGGCCGGAUCGACCACAUGGCCAAUGCCAAGGUCGCCAGUCCAUCGUCCUGCUCCACUCGUGUGCGCCCUCGACGCCGACGCCCUCUGAUACUCUUUGCCGCAGCCGCCGCCGUCGGCCUCCGUCACCACGCGCCCCCUUUGAGCACACUGGAUGCAAUCUCACAUGGCGUCGUCGUCCGCACUGUCUAACACCACCUACGGACACAGAAUGGCGGAUCAAGGUGUUUGAUGAAAUGCCCAACCACACCAACAACGCGAAUUUAGUUCUACAUGGUGGAAUCAACGAGGUAGCAUGACCUUCAGCCUUCUACAAGAGUGGCGAGCUGGGAGCCGGCGAGGUAGGCGACAUCGUUGACGACGGCCGUCAUGGCCUCCACCUGUGCCCUCUUGUAGGUGGACUGCUGGUCAUUGAUGUGGCGAGUCGGGCUCUUGCAGCAAAAUCUACGAUAUUCUCUGGAUGAGCUGCAGGUAGGCCAGGCUGUUCACGAGGAUCCGACAACGACCACCAAGGUACACAAACAACAAUGUAACAACUCUAGAAAUCUACAUCUUAAUACUGCCCUAUUUUCGGGGAUUCAAAUCUCCAGGCUGGAAUCAACAAGCUCACAUAAUCUUCAGUCUUCCACAAUUAUGUUUUGCUUCAUGUUCUAUGAUCAGGCUGUAAUCUGCUGGUGCGGUGCUGCCCUGCUUUGAUUUGGGGGUUCAUCUGGGAUCUAAUUUUUGACCGAACAAAGCUGGUGGCUGACGGCUGGUGUCACCUGAUGGUACUGUGCUACGGAGAGAGAUGUUUUUCCAGCAAUAGAAGUGGCCAGUUAGUUAAGUUGAAGAUUUGUGCCAUCUCUUCUUCAGGCCUGUAGCUUGUGGUUUCAGUCAGAUAGUUAAAGUCGCAUUGUCUUGCAACAGCGAGGACUGCUGGGUUAACUGUUUGUGGUUUCAGUCGGAUAGUUAAAGUUGCAUUUUCAGUCGGACACAUGCUUGUUGUUUUGCCUGCUUUUUUCUUGACUGCGCACUCUCGCCGUUCGUCGUCGUGCAAUGUUGAAGUUAUUCAUGCGGUGGGGUGGAUGAAAGUUAGUGCCAGACU